AAUUCUUUCCUUCUAACUAUUUCAAGACCAGUUUACCCCCAUUUCAUCUGAAUGAAAAUUACUUGAGAACGUUUCCUCCCUUGUGCAAUAAGGGACUUAACAAUUUAAUUCUGGUUAAGAAAUCCAAUUGCUGCUAUUGGUCAAAGAACCAGAAGCUGAACAAAAUUUAAGAACCAAACGAAGCCUCUCAUGACGGUACACGGAGCCCCAAGGAGAAAGCUGCCAAUCAGAGGGACCAACAAGCUGAACCUUCUGACCCCGUUACUCCGGCCUCUGCUGCAAGAAGAAAGGAGUCAUGGCCCUGUGUAGUGUUCAUCCAAAAUCUUCACCCAACCAUUUCCUUUCCAAUGAGGAAAAGGAAUUGUUGGAUUCAGUUUGAACUGGUGUUGGGGCCACUCAGGAGACGACAUUCUCGGCUUCUAGGAGACUUGCAGCCAGGGUUUCUUGCUCUGCUCAUGGAAGUCUGCUCAUGGACCAGGACAGUGGCUGCUUUCCCGGAUCCGGGCCUGAGACCAUGCCCACAUUUUCAUGACAAGCUGGAGCCAAGUGCCUUUGCUGACUGGGAAAGCUGUGUGCUUGCUAGGGGCUAGUCAUAAAAAAGCCUUUGUAGGCAUUGCUCCCAGACUGUUUCCACCUUGGCCUUGGGAUUCUGAGGUAAAUAGUCUGCACGCUGAUAUCAAUGGUCUAAAUAUUCUGCCAGUGUAUUAGGGCUUCUCCAGUGUGGUCUGCUCUUGUGCAGAAUCAAUAAAAGAUCUGCCUCUGUUUCAAAGAGUUUGUGCCCCCAGAGACUGGUAAGCAUAUGUAGAUAUGAAUGUCGACAAUCAAUCAUCGAGAAACAUCUGAAACGCAGUAAAACCUUGUUAAUCCACUAUUGCUGAUCACAAAUAGCAUGUAAUUCAAAGCAACUGCUGUUCCUGUCCUCCAUUGUUCUUUAAUGAAAAUAUUAUAUAAAUCAAAGCUGGCGAUGGGAUUUUUUUUUUUUUUUGCAGGUCCCUGGCAUUUCAAAUCUUCAAGACAUUGCUCUAAUUUUAUUUUCCUGAUUAAAUAACAUAUUAUUUUCCUAUGUCCACCACUCAAGUUCUCC
rnacentral:lncRNA from 1 species